GGAUUCUACCGUUGGUCGGGCAAUAGUCUGUACUGGCGUGUAGAAUUUCUACCUUCUGAGGAACCAUCAUGUUAUUUAUUUAGCGUGGUGGGAAACCAGGACCUUUACCUUGAAAAAAUUAGAGUGUUCAAAGCAGGCUUACGUCUGAAUACAUUAGCAUGGAAUAAUAAAAUAGGACUU
rnacentral:rRNA from 1 species